GAUGAACGCUGGCGGCGUGCCUAAUACAUGCAAGUCGAGCGAACAGACGAGGAGCUUGCUCCUCUGACGUUAGCGGCGGACGGGUGAGUAACACGUGGAUAACCUACCUAUAAGACUGGGAUAACUUCGGGAAACCGGAGCUAAUACCGGAUAAUAUAUUGAACCGCAUGGUUCAAUAGUGAAAGACGGUUUUGCUGUCACUUAUAGAUGGAUCCGCGCCGCAUUAGCUAGUUGGUAAGGUAACGGCUUACCAAGGCGACGAUGCGUAGCCGACCUGAGAGGGUGAUCGGCCACACUGGAACUGAGACACGGUCCAGACUCCUACGGGAGGCAGCAGUAGGGAAUCUUCCGUAAUGGGCGAAAGCCUGACGGAGCAACGCCGCGUGAGUGAUGAAGGUCUUCGGAUCGUAAAACUCUGUUAUUAGGGAAUAACAAAUGUGUAAGUAACUAUGCACGUCUUGACGGUACCUAAUCAGAAAGCCACGGCUAACUACGU
rnacentral:rRNA from 1 species